UAAUACAAGAAAAUGAAACACGUACCUAUAAAAAGGAGAGUAAACAAAUGCUCAUAUCAGCUUUUAUUUGCAAUUGCUAAAUACUAGAAAUAACCCAAAUAUCCAUAAACAGGUGAAUGGAUAGACAUAGUCAAUUAUACAUGGAAAAAACGCUAUUUAGAAACAAGAAUGAAAUGUGCAUAUAAGCACCAUUAAUGAAUCUCAAAGUAAUUAUGCAGCAUCGAUGAAACCAGAAAAAAAGAGUAAACACUUUACAAUCAAUCAUAAAAUUCCAGAAAAUGCAAUCUAUUAUAAAGAAUGUAAAUCAAUGGUUGCCUGGAGAGCCAGGGAGAGCAGGGAGUAUAAAAGGGCAUGAGGAAAAUAUGCAGGUGACAGAUAUGGUUGCUAUCAUGAUAAUAAUGGUUUCAUAGCUUUAUACACGUCAAAACUUAUCAAACUGUACACUUUAAAUAUAUACAAUUUAUUCUAUUAUACCUUAAUACAGCUUUAAAAUAUGGUUCAUAAUAAAAAUCUAAAUCUUGCACUCUUUAGAAAAUCAGGUUUGGCGACUCCGUAUUGACUCCACUAUCUCACUCCUCAUGCCUUGAAGGACAGCCUUUCCUCAGUGGCAGGAAAUACUGGCAAACAAUGAAGGCCAUUUCCACCUGAGUCAAGAGG